rnacentral:rRNA from 1 species
AACGAACGCUGGCGGCGUGCCUAACACAUGCAAGUCGUGCGAGAAAGUUCCUUCGGGAGCGAGUAAAGCGGCGCACGGGUGAGUAACACGUAGGUAACCUGCCCCCCAGUCUGGAACAACUAGAGGAAACUCUAGCUAAUGCCGGAUGAGACCACGAUCCCUUCGGGGGUUGCGGCCAAAGAUGGCCUCUACUUGUAAGCUAUCGCUGAGGGAUGGGCCUGCGGGCCAUUAGCUUGUUGGUGAGGUAACGGCUCACCAAGGCUGUGAUGGCUAGCUGGUCUGAGAGGAUGACCAGCCACACUGGGACUGAGACACGGCCCAGACUCCUACGGGAGGCAGCAGUGGGGAAUAUUGCGCAAUGGGCGAAAGCCUGACGCAGCGACGCCGCGUGGGUGAUGAAGGCCUUCGGGUCGUAAAGCUCUUUGCCGGGGACGGAUGAUGACGGUACCCGGACGAAUAAGCCCCGGGCCUAACUUCGUGCCAGCAGCCGCGGUAAU